AAACACUAAUUCACUAUUAAAGUCACCGGCACUUAAGCAUUUUCAACAAAUAAAGUAACCAACCACAUCACCUUCUAAACAAAAGUUCACUAUUAAAGUCACCGGCACUUAAGCAUUUUCAACAAAUAAAGUCACCAACAACAUCACCUUCUAAACAAAAGUUCACUUUUAAAGUCACCAAAACUUAAGCUUCUUCAACUAACAAAGGCACCAAUGAAACUAAUUCACUAUUAAAGUUAGAAAAAGUUAAGCAUUUUCAACAAGUAAAGUCACCAACAACAUCACCUUCUAAACACUAAUUCACUAUUAAAGUUACCGGCACUUAAGCAUUUUCAGAAAAUAAAGUAACCGACAACAUCACCUUCUAAACAAAAGUUCACUUUUAAAGUCACCAAAACUUAAGCAUUUUCAACAAAUAAAGUAACCAACCACAUCACCUUCUAAACAAAAGUGCACUAUUAAAGUCACUGGCACUUAAGCAUUUUCAACAAAUAAAGUCACCAACAACAUCACCUCGUAAACACUAGUUUACUAUUAAAGUCACCAAAACUUAAGCUUUUUCAACUAACAAAGGCAC
rnacentral:lncRNA from 1 species